rnacentral:lncRNA from 1 species
CCCCCACCCCCAGCACCCCGACCCGACUCGCUGCGAGUGUCCGCGCCCGCCGCGGUCCGUCUGGCGGCUCCGCUCCCUCGUCUAGCUCCCUGGGCUGCCGGGAGGUAGGAUCAGAGAGUCGCCGCGCAGUGCUCCAUCCCAGUCCUGGGCGCGUCUCAGCUGUUGGGAAGCCUAGACCAGGCAGAAGCGCCUAUAAAUGAAGACAUAGCUGCAUAGAUUAGUUGGGGGCGAGAAAAGGGGUUUCUCUUCUCAAAACCACCACAUUCCCUUCCCCGAAACGGUCCUGGGUUUGUCUGGGGGUUGUUUUUGGUUCUUUCAGUAGCUGACUGGAGAAUGGGGAGGAGGUUCGGAGAGGCGAGGGAGACCCCACGUCCCUGAAUCUAUUUUAGCUCCGAAGUGGUCUCUAGGAGAGUCUGUAGUUUCUGAGGCGCCCACGGAUCUUUCCUCCAAAGGAAAAGGAAAAAAAAAAAGAGGAAAGAGGGAGGGAGGGAAAAGGAGAAAAGGCAGCGGUCGGGAGAGAUCUGCGUUUUGUUGUUCUGGGUUUCAGCCUGAGCCCCACGUAGAGAAGAGAGAGAUGCGUGGCGGAGGGCGGAAGAAAGGACAAGAAGAGCUGGCUCCGGGAGUUCGCAGCUUUUCCUAAGGGGUGGGAUCCCUCUCCCCUGGACCUAGGGAGUCUGCCAAGGCUGGGGAGCCCGAUGCGCCUGCAAAAGUGGACGAAGAGAAGGACUUUGCUCGCGGACUGGUGAACAGUCGAGUUCGAGUCCGAGUGGAAGAGGGGAAAGAGGGGUUUGCAGACUGCAGAGUCCGCCCGUCGGGUAGAGGAGGCAGGUUUCCCAGCACCGCUCCAAGGGGCUCAAGUUUCCCGGUCUGUCCGAGGAUUUCACUCAUCACAGUUUUUUUGGCAAAGCCAAGCCAGGUCAAGUCAGAACUCCGACCCCUAGGAGGACAGCCUUUCAGAAAAACUCCCUUGGGCACCCUGGACUCUUCUUCAUGAGAUUUCUUCAUGGAAGACUGCCCCUAGAGAUGGGACUUUUUCAGAUUCAUCUGAGCUAAGGUAAGGUUUACCCACACACCACUGGGGAAGGUUUUCCCCUACACGCUGAUGGGGACAGCUUGC